rfam:Vitis vinifera, whole genome shotgun sequence of line PN40024, unoriented chromosome 8, chr8
UAUGAAUCGAUGAUGUUACUAUGAAACUGCGUUAUCUAUCUGAAACAUCCUAAUAGGGAUUGGAGAUAAUCAUAGCAUCCUGAGAUCCAUU